GGGCGCGUAGCUCAGCUGGACAGAGCGUCGGACUUCUAAUCCGGUGGUCGUGGGUUCGAAUCCCACCGCGCCCG
rnacentral:tRNA from 1 species